AUGUUUGGAGAAAUUGGAAAGCCAGAGCUUGUGGUGUGCCCAGCUGAUAAAGGGAUUGCUUUCCUUUCCCUGUCUGGUGCCUGGGUCUCCUGUGCAGUCACACAAACUCAACCCCAUCAGAUGCCACCAGUUGGUGCUGAUGCAGUGGGCUUAAGCUCCUUAUCUCCCUUCAAUCCACGCUGCAUGUUUCAUCAUUCAUGUUUACUCCUUUUGAAAUGUAGAAUAAAGAGCCCUUUUUUCAAUUAUAUUUCUUCUUUCCUUCCCUCUGUCAGUUUUAUUGCUGUGUCCCUUAAUUGCUGUCUUUCACUAAAGGUUUCCAGGUUUCACCAUGCCAGUAAAUAAAUUAUUUCCAUCUAUAACUCCAAAUAGUCUGUUCAUAGCUGUGUAUAUGAGCAGUGGCUAAUAUAUUAAUUCAUAUUCUGAAAGGGCCCCACCUUAUUAUUAAAACCUAAUUAACAUUUACUGAGCAGAAGAAAACUGUGUGGAAGAAGCAGUUCUCUCUAGCCUGUAUAAUACAUACAUGCUCAUUUUUCCUUUCCUGGUUUUGUGUCCUUUACCCGUAUUCGAAUGGAUUUGUUCUAACUCCCUUUGCUUUAGGAAUGGCACAUAGAGACCCCUGGUUUCCCACCUGAAGCCUGUGGCAUGUGAAUGAAGACAUUCUCCUGAGAGCAGUGAGUAUCCUAGUGGCAUGGGAAGGAUUCCCACAGGUCUCAGAAUUCAUUGUGAGCAGACACAUGGAGCCAUGGCCAAAGCUACAUUCCUGUCUGCUCCCCAGCUGUAUUCCUGCACUGCUCCUCCUGCUCUCACAGUCAUGAGUUUGAGGGGGAAAUUUAGUAGACCAAAUUUAGCAGUUUAUUAAGAUCUCAUUUAACAGAAAGGAACACCUUCUCUAGUGGUUCAGACCAUUUGAAAUGGUCUUAAUUCCAUUCUGGGGUGUAUCCUUCACUCUCUACUGUGAUAGGUAUUCUUUGUCUCCCCUGGCAGUGGACAGUAAACAACCUAAUAUCAUAUUCUAAACAUCCCAGAGAUGCAGAGAUGCAUCCCAUGGUGUAAAUGCA
rnacentral:lncRNA from 1 species